UACGGGGGGGGCAAGCGUUGUUCGGAAUUACUGGGCGUAAAGGGCUCGUAGGCGGCCAACUAAGUCAGACGUGAAAUCCCCAGGCUCAACCUGGGAACUGCGUCUGAUACUGGAUGGCUUGAAUCCGGGAGAGGGAUGCAGAAUUCCAGGUGUAGCGGUGAAAUGCGUAGAUAUCGGGAGGAACACCAGUGGCGAAGGCGAGUCUCUGGGAUGAUGCUGACGCUGAGGCGCGAAAGCCAGGGGAGCAAACGGG
rnacentral:rRNA from 1 species